UCCCUUGUGGCUCAGUUGGUAGAGCAUGGUGUUUGCAAUGCCAAGGUUGUGGGUCCGAUUCCCACGGGGGAC
rnacentral:tRNA from 1 species